rnacentral:lncRNA from 1 species
GGGAGAUGUUGCUUGAAUAUUUCCUACAAUAUCGACCUCAUGAUGAUGGUUAAGAAACUCUCUGAUAGUUUCUAGGGAGGUAGAGGAGUCUUGAGAUACUUCAGGGCUUCGGCGAUGAACUUGAGCACCAAACUGCUUUGCAACCUUCUCAAUUUCAUCAUGGUCUGUAGAUACCCACACACUGUGGAAGACGCCGGCGUCGAUGGCGGCGCGCAGCACCCAGCCGAUAAGCGGCACGCCCGCCAGCAGCUUGAUGUUCUUCAGCGGGAUCCCCUUGCUGCCGCCGCGCGCCAGCACCAGCGCGGCCAGAUGGGCGCGCGGCUGCGCCUCAUCCGUCUCCAUGCCGCGUUCCUCGGGCGGGCGCUACCGACCCGCCGUGCGCCACGUACCCCUCCCCGAGCUCUGCGUGCCUGCGUGCAUGCGUGCUGGGAAGUGUAGUCCUGCGCCCGCCACGGUGCGGUGUCAUGGCGGGGUUAGGGGGGUGUAGUCGUGUUUCUUAGCUGGCAGUCGGGUGCUUCUCGCAGCUGAUGUGCGGAGUCCUGUGGAAGCCCCAGAUGAUCAAGUCCUGUAGUUUUCCAUUGUUUGCCCUCGUAAAUCUCAAACUUGAGCGGGUUGUCCCGUGUCGCGUCCUUCUCGUGUGAGGAGUCCCGGCAGAGGGCAGAGUCCUCUCACGGAGACACACAUGAGGAGAAAAAUCCUUUGCUCCUGCUUCUGUUCCCCACCUGCUGAAAAGUGUGCUAAAGCAUAAAACCAGUAAAAUAAGUCCACACAGAGAGUCGAGGUUUUAACAUAAUCUAAAAACUGGAAAGUAGAGGCUGCUGAGCAGCAUUAGGAUGAGACAGGAUGAGAGGGAAAGGCCUCAAGUUGCACCAGGGGAGGUUCAGGAUGGAUAUUAGGACAAAUUUCAUCUCCAAAAGAGCGGUGAUGCAUUGGCACA